GACGAACGCUGGCGGCGUGCUUAACACAUGCAAGUCGAACGGAAAGGCCCUGCUUUUGUGGGGUGCUCGAGUGGCGAACGGGUGAGUAACACGUGAGUAACCUGCCCUUGACUUUGGGAUAACUUCAGGAAACUGGGGCUAAUACCGGAUAGGAGCUCCUGCUGCAUGGUGGGGGUUGGAAAGUUUCGGCGGUUGGGGAUGGACUCGCGGCUUAUCAGCUUGUUGGUGGGGGAGUGGCUUACCAAGGCUUUGACGGGUAGCCGGCCUGAGAGGGUGACCGGCCACAAUGGGGCUGAGGGACGGCCCAGACGCCUACGGGGGGCAGCAGGUGGGAAUUUUUCACAAUUGGGGGGAGCCUGAUGCAACAACGCCCGGGUCGGGAAGAACGCCUUCGGGGUAGAAACCGCCUUCAGCUGUUACCAAGCGGGUGUGACGGUAAUUGGUAAAGAAGCACCGGCUAACUACGUG
rnacentral:rRNA from 1 species